rnacentral:rRNA from 1 species
GACGAACGCUGGCGGCGUGCUUAACACAUGCAAGUCGAACGGAAAGGCCCUGCUUUUGUGGGGUGCUCGAUUGGCGAACGGGUGAGUAACACGUGAGUAACCUGCCCUUGACUUUGGGAUAACUUCAGGAAACUGGGGCUAAUACCGGAGAGGAUCUCCUGCUGCAUGGUGGGGGUUGGUAAGUUUCGGCGGUAGGGGAUGGACUCGCGGGUUAUCAGCUUGUUGGUGUGGUAGUGGCUGCCCAAGGCUUUGACGGGUAGCCGGCCUGAGAGGGUGACCGGCGACAUUGGGACUGAGAGACGGAGCAGACUCCUACGGGAGGCAGUAGUGGGGAAUAUUGCACAGUGGGCGGAAGCGUGAGGCAGCAACGCCGCGUGCGGGAUGACGGCUUUCGGGUUGUAAACCGAUGUCGCCUGAGACGAAGAGUGAGUGACGGUAAUGGGUAAAGAAGCACCGGCUAACUACGUG